GAUGAACGCUAGCGACAGGCCUAACACAUGCAAGUCGAGGGGCAUCGGGACGUAGCAAUACGUUGCCGGCGACCGGCGGAUGGGUGAGUAACGCGUAUGCAACCUACCCGUAGCAGGGGGAUAGCCCGUUGAAAGACGGAUUAAUACCCCGUAACACAGGGGCUCCGCAUGGAGAUUAUUGUUAAAGGGUCAUUUCUUUUAGAGGUGGUCCGGCUACGGAUGGGCAUGCGUUCCAUUAGGUAGUUGGUGUAGGUAACGGCUCACCAAGCCGACGAUGGAUAGGGGAACUGAGAGGUUGGUCCCCCACACUGGUACUGAGACACGGCCCAGACUCCUACGGGAGGCAGCAGUGGGGAAUCUUCCGCAAUGGGCGCAAGCCUGACGGAGCAACGCCGCGUGGGUGAAGAAGGCCUUCGGGUUAUAAAGCCCUGUCUUAUGGGAAGAAGUCAGUGACGGUACCAUAGGAGGAAGCCACGGCUAACUACGUG
rnacentral:rRNA from 1 species